UACGUAGGGGGCGAGCGUUGUCCGAAUUUACUGGGCGUAAAGCGCGCGUAGGCGGACUCUUAAGUUGGGGGUGAAAUCCCGGGGCUCAACCCCGGAACUGCCUUCAAAACUGGGAGUCUUGAGGUAUGGAGAGGGAAGUGGAAUUCCUGGUGUAGCGGUGAAAUGCGUAGAUAUCAGGAGGAACACCCGUGGCGAAGGCGGCUUCCUGGCCAUAUCCUGACGCUGAGGUGCGAAAGCUAGGGGAGCGAACGGGAUUAGAUACCCCGGUAGUCCUAGCCGUAAACGAUGGAUACUAGGUGUUAGAGGUAUCGACCCCUCUAGUGCCGAAGCUAACGCAUUAAGUAUCCCGCCUGGGGAGUACGGCCGCAAGGCUGAAACUCAAAGGAAUUGACGGGGGCCCGCACAAGCGGUGGAGCAUGUGGUUUAAUACGUCACUAACCGUAGAACCUUACCCAGGCUUGACAUCUGGGGAAUCCUGAUGAAAGUCGGGAGUGCUUCGUAAGAAGAACCCCAAGACAGGUGUUGCAUGGCU
rnacentral:rRNA from 1 species